CCGAACCGACUAAUGUUGAAAAAUUAGCGGAUGACCUGUGGCUGGGGGUGAAAGGCCAAUCAAACCGGGAGAUAGCUGGUUCUCCCCGAAAGCUAUUUAGGUAGCGCCUCGUGAAUUCAUCUCCGGGGGUAGAGCACUGUUUCGGCUAGGGGGCCAUCCCGGCUUACCAACCCGAUGCAAACUGCGAAUACCGGAGAAUGUUAUCACGGGAGACACACGGCGGGUGCUAACGUCCGUCGUGAAGAGGGAAACAACCCAGACCGCCAGCUAAGGUCCCAAAGUCAUGGUUAAGUGGGAAACGAUGUGGGAAGGCCCAGACAGCCAGGAUGUUGGCUUAGAAGCAGCCAUCAUUUAAAGAAAGCGUAAUAGCUCACUGGUCGAGUCGGCCUGCGCGGAAGAUGUAACGGGGCUAAACCAUGCACCGAAGCUGCGGCAGCGACACUGUGUGUUGUUGGGUAGGGGAGCGUUCUGUAAGCCUGUGAAGGUGUGUCGUGAGGCAUGCUGGAGGUAUCAGAAGUGCGAAUGCUGACAUAAGUAACGAUAAAGCGGGUGAAAAGCCCGCUCGCCGGAAGACCAAGGGUUCCUGUCCAACGUUAAUCGGGGCAGGGUGAGUCGACCCCUAAGGCGAGGCCGAAAGGCGUAGUCGAUGGGAAACGGGUUAAUAUUCCCGUACUUGGUGUUACUGCGAAGGGGGGACGGAGAAGGCUAUGUUGGCCGGGCGACGGUUGUCCCGGUUUAAGCGUGUAGGUGUGUGUUCCAGGUAAAUCCGGUUCACUUUAACACUGAGGCGUGACGACGAGGCACUACGGUGCUGAAGCAACAAAUGCCCUGCUUCCAGGAAAAGCCUCUAAGCAUCAGGUAACAUCAAAUCGUACCCCAAACCGACACAGGUGGUCAGGUAGAGAAUACCAAGGCGCUUGAGAGAACUCGGGUGAAGGAACUAGGCAAAAUGGUGCCGUAACUUCGGGAGAAGGCACGCUGACACGUAGGUGAAGUGAUUUACUCAUGGAGCUGAAGUCAGUCGAAGAUACCAGCUGGCUGCAACUGUUUAUUAAAAACACAGCACUGUGCAAACACGAAAGUGGACGUAUACGGUGUGACGCCUGCCCGGUGCCGGAAGGUUAAUUGAUGGGGUCAGCGCAAGCGAAGCUCCUGAUCGAAGCCCCGGUAAACGGCGGCCGUAACUAUAACGGUCCUAAGGUAGCGAAAUUCCUUGUCGGGUAAGUUCCGACCUGCACGAAUGGCGUAAUGAUGGCCAGGCUGUCUCCACCCGAGACUCAGUGAAAUUGAACUCGCUGUGAAGAUGCAGUGUACCCGCGGCAAGACGGAAAGACCCCGUGAACCUUUACUAUAGCUUGACACUGAACAUUGAGCCUUGAUGUGUAGGAUAGGUGGGAGGCUUUGAAGUGUGGACGCCAGUCUGCAUGGAGCCGACCUUGAAAUACCACCCUUUAAUGUUUGAUGUUCUAACGUGGACCCGUUACCCGGGUUGCGGACAGUGUCUGGUGGGUAGUUUGACUGGGGCGGUCUCCUCCUAAAGAGUAACGGAGGAGCACGAAGGUUGGCUAAUCCUGGUCGGACAUCAGGAGGUUAGUGCAAUGGCAUAAGCCAGCUUGACUGCGAGCGUGACGGCGCGAGCAGGUGCGAAAGCAGGUCAUAGUGAUCCGGUGGUUCUGAAUGGAAGGGCCAUCGCUCAACGGAUAAAAGGUACUCCGGGGAUAACAGGCUGAUACCGCCCAAGAGUUCAUAUCGACGGCGGUGUUUGGCACCUCGAUGUCGGCUCAUCACAUCCUGGGGCUGAAGUAGGUCCCAAGGGUAUGGCUGUUCGCCAUUUAAAGUGGUACGCGAGCUGGGUUUAGAACGUCGUGAGACAGUUCGGUCCCUAUCUGCCGUGGGCGCUGGAGAACUGAGGGGGGCUGCUCCUAGUACGAGAGGACCGGAGUGGACGCAUCACUGGUGUUCGGGUUGUCAUGCCAAUGGCACUGCCCGGUAGCUAAAUGCGGAAGAGAUAAGUGCUGAAAGCAUCUAAGCACGAAACUUGCCCCGAGAUGAGUUCUCCCUGAGACUUAAAGUCUCCUGAAGGAACGUUGAAGACGACGACGUUGAUAGGCCGGGUGUGUAAGCGCAGCGAUGCGUUGAGCUA
rnacentral:rRNA from 1 species